UUGAAAGGGAAACGAUUGAAGUCAGUCAUGCUGGUGGGAAUCAACUUAGGGGAAACUCUAGGUGCACUUCUUCGCUUGGCAGGUUAACGUCGAUCUUGAAUGCCAUAAAAUAAUUGGGGGAAGGUAGCUCCUUCGGGAGUGUUAUAGCCCUUGAUAGAUGUGAUGUUUGGGGUCGAGGAUUGCAACGGAUACCUUUGGGGCUAGCCGCCUGAUCUCUAAUCGGUGUUGGGUUACGGAUAGCAUGCUGACCGUGAUCUAAUUACUGGUUAAAAGGUUAGAGCGUGCAUAAAUUCGUUAAGGAUGUUGACGUA
rnacentral:rRNA from 1 species